GAAGCGAACGCGGUGAACUGAAACAUCUAAGUAACCGCAGGAAAAGAAAUCAACCGAGAUUCCCAAAGUAGUGGCGAGCGAAAUGGGAUGAGCCUUGCACUCUUUAUUUGUAUUGUUAGCCGAACGCUCUGGAAAGUGCGGCCAUAGCAGGUGAUAGCCCUGUAGGCGAAAACAGUAUGAAAGAACUAGGUGUGCGACAAGUAGGGCGGGACACGUGAAAUCCUGUCUGAAGAUGGGGGGACCAUCCUCCAAGGCUAAAUACUCGUGAUCGACCGAUAGUGAACCAGUACCGUGAGGGAAAGGCGAAAAGAACCCCGGGAGGGGAGUGAAAUAGAUCCUGAAACCGCAUGCAUACAAACAGUCGGAGCCUCGCAAGGGGUGACGGCGUACCUUUUGUAUAAUGGGUCAGCGACUUACGUUCAGUAGCAAGCUUAACCGUAUAGGGCAGGCGUAGCGAAAGCGAGUCCGAAUAGGGCGUUCAGUUGCUGGGCGUAGACCCGAAACCAGGUGAUCUAUCCAUGGCCAGGAUGAAGGUGCGGUAACACGUACUGGAGGUCCGAACCCACUAACGUUGAAAAGUUAGGGGAUGAGCUGUGGAUAGGGGUGAAAGGCUAAACAAACCUGGAAAUAGCUGGUUCUCUCCGAAAACUAUUUAGGUAGUGCCUCGUGUCUCACCUUCGGGGGUAGAGCACUGUCAUGGUUGGGGGGUCUAUUGCAGAUUACCCCGCCAUAGCAAACUCCGAAUACCGAAGAGUGCAAUCACGGGAGACAGACAUCGGGUGCUAACGUCCGGUGUCAAGAGGGAAACAACCCAGACCGCCAGCUAAGGUCCCCAAAUAUAGCUAAGUGGGAAACGAAGUGGGAAGGCUAAAACAGUCAGGAGGUUGGCUUAGAAGCAGCCACCCUUUAAAGAAAGCGUAAUAGCUCACUGAUCGAGUCGUCCUGCGCGGAAGAUGUAACGGGGCUAAGCUAUAUACCGAAGCUGCGGAUGCGUGCUUGCACGCAUGGUAGGAGAGCGUUCCGUAAGCCUGCGAAGGUGCCUUGUAAAGGGUGCUGGAGGUAUCGGAAGUGCGAAUGCUGACAUGAGUAGCGAUAAAGGGGGUGAAAGGCCCCCUCGCCGUAAGCCCAAGGUUUCCUACGCAACGUUCAUCGGCGUAGGGUGAGUCGGCCCCUAAGGCGAGGCAGAAAUGCGUAGCUGAUGGGAAGCAGGUCAAUAUUCCUGCACCAUUGUUAGAUGCGAUGGGGGGACGGAUCGCGGAAGGUUGUCCGGGUGUUGGAAGUCCCGGUCGCUGCAUUGGAGAAGGCGCUUAGGCAAAUCCGGGCGCGUAAUUCAAGGGUGUGGCGCGAGCUCCUUAGGGAGCGAAGCAAUUGGAAGUGGUUCCAAGAAAAGCCUCUAAGCUUCAGUCUAACGAUGACCGUACCGCAAACCGACACAGGUGGGCGAGAUGAGUAUUCUAAGGCGCUUGAGAGAACUCGGGAGAAGGAACUCGGCAAAUUGGUACCGUAACUUCGGGAUAAGGUACGCCCUUGUAGCUUGACUGGCCUGCGCCAGGAGGGUGAAGGGGUUGCAAUAAACUGGUGGCUGCGACUGUUUAAUAAAAACACAGCACUCUGCAAACACGAAAGUGGACGUAUAGGGUGUGACGCCUGCCCGGUGCCGGAAGAUUAAAUGAUGGGGUGCAAGCUCUUGAUUGAAGUCCCGGUAAACGGCGGCCGUAACUAUAACGGUCCUAAGGUAGCGAAAUUCCUUGUCGGGUAAGUUCCGACCUGCACGAAUGGCGUAACGAUGGCCACACUGUCUCCUCCCGAGACUCAGCGAAGUUGAAGUGUUUGUGAUGAUGCAAUCUACCCGCGGCUAGACGGAAAGACCCCAUGAACCUUUACUGUAGCUUUGCAUUGGACUUUGAACCGAUCUGUGUAGGAUAGGUGGGAGGCUAUGAAACCGGAACGCUAGUUUCGGUGGAGCCGUCCUUGAAAUACCACCCUGGUUUGUUUGAGGUUCUAACCUUGGCCCGUGAUCCGGGUCGGGGACAGUGCAUGGUAGGCAGUUUGACUGGGGCGGUCUCCUCCCAAAGCGUAACGGAGGAGUACGAAGGUACGCUAGGUACGGUCGGAAAUCGUGCUGAUAGUGCAAUGGCAUAAGCGUGCUUAACUGCGAGACCGACAAGUCGAGCAGGUGCGAAAGCAGGUCAUAGUGAUCCGGUGGUUCUGUAUGGAAGGGCCAUCGCUCAACGGAUAAAAGGUACUCUGGGGAUAACAGGCUGAUACCGCCCAAGAGUUCAUAUCGACGGCGGUGUUUGGCACCUCGAUGUCGGCUCAUCUCAUCCUGGGGCUGUAGCCGGUCCCAAGGGUAUGGCUGUUCGCCAUUUAAAGAGGUACGUGAGCUGGGUUUAAAACGUCGUGAGACAGUUUGGUCCCUAUCUGCCGUGGGCGUUGGAUAUUUGAAGGGGGCUGCUCCUAGUACGAGAGGACCGGAGUGGACGAACCUCUGGUGUACCGGUUGUCACGCCAGUGGCAUCGCCGGGUAGCUAUGUUCGGAAGAGAUAACCGCUGAAAGCAUCUAAGCGGGAAACUCGCCUUAAGAUGAGAUAUCCCUGGGGACUAGAUCCCCUUGAAGGGUCGUUCGAGACCAGGACGUUGAUAGGUCAGGUGUGUAAGCGCAGUAAUGCGUUCAGCUAACUGAUACUAAUUGCCCGUAAGGCUUGAUCCUAUAACA
rnacentral:rRNA from 1 species